rnacentral:rRNA from 1 species
UACGUAGGGGGCAAGCGUUGUCCGGAAUCAUUGGGCGUAAAGAGCGUGUAGGCGGCUCGAUAAGUCUGCUGUGAAAGUCCAGGGCUCAACCCUGGAAGGCCGGUGGAAACUGUCGGGCCAGAGUCCGGAAGAGGCGAGUGGAAUUCCCGGUGUAGCGGUGAAAUGCGCAGAUAUCGGGAGGAACACCAAUGGCGAAGGCAGCUCGCUGGGACGGUACUGACGCUGAGACGGCGAAAGCGUGGGGAGCAAACAGG